CCGGUGUAUUCGUACCCUUAUCAUUCUUGCGCCCCGUGUUAUAUUGUUGGCGACUGGACGGAGAACUGAUAAGGGCCCGGGUCACCUU
rnacentral:pre_miRNA from 1 species